AUGAACGCUGGCGGCGUGCCUCAUCCAUGCAGGUCGAGCGAACGGACGAGAAGCUUGCUUCUCUGAUGUUAGCGGCGGACGGGUGAGUAACACGUGGAUAACCUACCUAUAAGACUGGGAUAACUUCGGGAAACCGGAGCUAAUACCGGAUGAUAUUUUGAACCGCAUGGUUCAAAAGUGAAAGACGGUCUUGCUGUCACUUAUAGAUGGAUCCGCGCUGCAUUAGCUAGUUGGUAAGGUAACGGCUUACCAAGGAAACGAUGCAUAGCCGACCUGAGAGGGUGAUCGGCCACACUGGAACUGAGACACGGUCCAGACUCCUACGGGAGGCAGCAGUAGGGAAUCUUCCGCAAUGGGCGAAAGCCUGACGGAGCAACGCCGCGUGAGUGAUGAAGGUCUUCGGAUCGUAAAACUCUGUUAUUAGGGAAGAACAUAUGUGUAAGUAACUGUGCACAUCUUGACGGUACCUAAUCAGAAAGCCACGGCUAACUACGUG
rnacentral:rRNA from 1 species